AUUGAACGCUGGCGGCAGGCCUAACACAUGCAAGUCGAGCGGAGCGGCGGACGGGUGAGUAAUGUAUGGGGAUCUGCCCGAUAGAGGGGGGUAACUACCCGAAAGAGUGGCUAAUAACGCAUACUAUUGGAGCUGCCGAUUUCGGAUUAGCUAGUUGGUGGGGUAACGGCUCACCAAGGCAACGAUGCGAAGCUGGUCUGAGAGGACGACCAGCCACACUGGGACUGAGACACGGCCCAGACUCCUACGGGAGGCAGCAGUAGGGAAUUUUGGGCAAUGGGGGAAAGCCUGAUCCAGCCAUCCCGCGUGUAUGAUGAAGGCCUUCGGGUUGUAAAGUUCUGUUGUCAGAGAAGCGGUAUCUGCAGAAUAAGCACCGGCUAACUACGUGCCAGCAGCCGCGGUAAUUC
rnacentral:rRNA from 1 species